rnacentral:rRNA from 1 species
GGGACAGGAGGCGCAGCGGGCGGGGGAGGCGGAGGGGGGGUAGCGUUGCUGGGGAGUACGUGGCGGAAAGGGCGGGUAGGCGGAGCGUUAAGUCAGAGGUGAAAUCCCGGGGCUCAACUUCGGAACGGCCUUGGAUACUGGCGAUGUUGAGUGUGAGAGAGGUAUGUGGAACUCCGAGUGUAGAGGUGAAAUUCGUAGAUAUUCGGAAGAACACCAGUGGCGAAGGCGACAUACUGGCUCAUUACUGACGCUGAGGCGCGAAAGCGUGGGGAGCAAACAGGAUUAGAUACCCGAGUAGUC